rnacentral:lncRNA from 1 species
UGGCACAUGGGAGAAGAGUCCAAUCUUCUAUAGACUCUUUAUUUCCUUAUUUGACUCCUAACCAAAUCACAUCUGGCUAAGCCCAAAUAAAAUAGAUGAAACUCAAUCUAUUUAGAUUCAUAAAUUCUUAAUCAAAUUUUAAUCAAAUUAAAAAUUGAUUGAAUCAAAGUCCUAAUCAAAUUAGGGAUAAUUCUUCCUUAGC